AAUAGAUACCCGGGUAGUCCCACCCCGUAAACGUUGGGAACUAGUUGUGGGGUUCCUUUCCACGGAUUCCGUGACGCAGCUAACGCAUUAAGUUCCCCGCCUGGGGAGUACGGCCGCAAGGCUAAAACUCAAAGGAAUUGACGGGGACCCGCACAAGCGGCGGAGCAUGCGGAUUAAUUCGAUGCAACGCGAAGAACCUUACCAAGGCUUGACAUACACCAGAACACCCUAGAAAUAGGGGACUCUUUGGACACUGGUGAACAGGUGGUGCAUGGUUGUCGUCAGCUCGUGUCGUGAGAUGUUGGGUUAAGUCCCGCAACGAGCGCAACCCUCGUUCUAUGUUGCCAGCACGUAAUGGUGGGAACUCAUGGGAUACUGCCGGGGUCAACUCGGAGGAAGGUGGGGAUGACGUCAAAUCAUCAUGCCCCUUAUGUCUUGGGCUUCACGCAUGCUACAAUGGCCGGUACAAAGGGCUGCAAUACCGUGAGGUGGAGCGAAUCCCAAAAAGCGGUCCCAGUUCGGAUUGAGGUCUGCAACUCGGACCUUCAUGGUAAAC
rnacentral:rRNA from 1 species